rnacentral:misc_RNA from 1 species
CUAUAUUUUUUAAAAUGCCGUUUCUGCGUUUGGGUUUCCGUUUCUGUACUUCAUAGUCUUUUCAUUCCAAAUUUUAUAUUUCUAUAAAUUUAUGAGACUUGAGAGAAAAACUAGUCAUUUGGAAUUUUAGAGAGAAGCUUCCUCUGGCUAUCCCCCUUUGUUGUAACUCCCAAAUUAAUGAUGCAAGGAAAUUUUAAGUAGCGUUUGGUUUAAUCCUAAAAAGCAACAUUUUUGCUUUUUUGAAUGUGCAAAAAGAAAAACAUUGUUUGUUUGAACAUUGAAAAUUGGUUUUUUAUUAUUAUUUUUUUAAUAAUCUUAGUCGAAUUUUAAAUCUCACAGUUAAAAAGAAAUCAAUAAUUAAAUUUGUAUACGUGUUAAUCUAUUAUUUGUUUGUUAUUUUACACCUUAUGUGACAUGGAAUAACUGCUCACUAUGAAAUUUAUUGGGAGGCAAUGAGAUGGGUUUGCCAGAUCUGCGGAAUGAGAGCAUGCAUGGUGCCAAAAUUAUGGCAGGUUUCUGCCAAACAGUUGCAGAAAACUUCUUCUGGCCAAUUCAUGGAUUGGACUUAUUAAUACACAAAUUUGAAUUUCACCCAUAAAAAUAUUCGCUCUUUAAUUUGUGCUAUUAAUUAAAAUAAAAUUAAUUAAAUAAACAGGAUGAAAUUUAUAAUUAAUAAUUUUUUUAAUAAGUAUAAAUAUGCAUUCAUUAAAAUUUAUUUAAUGUACUCUAUUAGUAAGGAAAAUUACAAUUUUAAUAUAAAUGCAUCUCAUUAAUGUGCAUUUGUUAUUAAAAUUAUAGUUUCCUUAUACUAGUAGAGUAUAAAAAAUACCCAAAGAUUUUCAUUUUCUUUCCCCUACUCCAAACAUUACAUCAUGAAUUUCAUUUUUUUUUUAAAUUAAAGAGGAGGAAUUAAUUAAGGUGAAAAUGAGUUUAUAUAAUUUUCCAGAUUAG